rnacentral:rRNA from 1 species
CCUACGGGUGGCAGCAGUGGGGAAUAUUGGACAAUGGGGGGAACCCUGAUCCAGCCAUGCCGCGUGUGUGAAGAAGGCCCUCGGGUUGUAAAGCACUUUCAGUGAGGAAGAACGCCUGGUGGUUAAUACCCAUCAGGAAAGACAUCACUCACAGAAGAAGCACCGGCUAACUCCGUGCCAGCAGCCGCGGUAAUACGGAGGGUGCGAGCGUUAAUCGGAAUUACUGGGCGUAAAGCGCGCGUAGGUGGCUUGAUAAGCCGGUUGUGAAAGCCCCGGGCUCAACCUGGGAACGGCAUCCGGAACUGUCAAGCUAGAGUGUGGGAGAGGAAGGUGGAAUUCCCGGUGUAGCGGUGAAAUGCGUAGAGAUCGGGAGGAAUACCAGUGGCGAAGGCGGCCUUCUGGACUGACACUGACGCUGAGGUGCGAAAGCGUGGGUAGCAAACAGGAUUAGAUACCCUUGUAGUC